rnacentral:rRNA from 1 species
GCAUAUCAAUAAGCGGAGGAAAAGAAACCAACCGGGAUUGCCUUAGUAACGGCGAGUGAAGCGGCAAAAGCUCAAAUUUGAAAUCUGGCGUCUUCGACGUCCGAGUUGUAAUUUGAAGAAGGCAACUUUGUAGCUGGUCCUUGUCUAUGUUCCUUGGAACAGGACGUCAUAGAGGGUGAGAAUCCCGUGUGGCGAGGAUCCCAGUUAUUUGUAAAGUGCUUUCGACGAGUCGAGUUGUUUGGGAAUGCAGCUCUAAGUGGGUGGUAAAUUCCAUCUAAAGCUAAAUAUUGGCGAGAGACCGAUAGCGAACAAGUACAGUGAUGGAAAGAUGAAAAGAACUUUGAAAAGAGAGUGAAAAAGUACGUGAAAUUGUUGAAAGGGAAGGGCAUUUGAUCAGACAUGGCGUUUGCUUCGGCUUUCGCUGGGCCAGCAUCAGUUUUAGCGGUUGGAUAAAUCCUCGGGAAUGUGGCUCUGCUUCGGUAGAGUGUUAUAGCCCGUGGGAAUACAGCCAGCUGGGACUGAGGAUUGCGACUUUUGUCAAGGAUGCUGGCGUAAUGGUUAAAUGCCGCCCGUCUUGAAACACGGACCAAGGAGUCUAACGUCUAUGCGAGUGUUUGGGUGUAAAACCCGUACGCGUAAUGAAAGUGAACGUAGGUGAGGGCCCGCAAGGGUGCAUCAUCGACCGAUCCUGAUGUCUUCGGAUGGAUUUGAGUAAGAGCAUAGCUGUUGGGACCCGAAAGAUGGUGAACUAUGCCUGAAUAGGGUGAAGCCAGAGGAAACUCUGGUGGAGGCUCGUAGCGGUUCUGACGUGCAAAUCGAUCGUCGAAUUUGGGUAUAGGGGCGAAAGACUAAUCGAACCAUCUAGUAGCUGGUUCCUGCCG